rnacentral:rRNA from 1 species
UACGUAGGGGGCGAGCGUUGUCCGGAAUUACUGGGCGUAAAGAGUUCGUAGGCGGUUUGAUAAGUCAGAUGUGAAAGGCGUAGGCUUAACCUAUGUAAGCAUAUGAAACUGUCAGACUUGAGGUAAGGAGAGGAAAGUGGAAUUCCUAGUGUAGCGGUGAAAUGCGUAGAUAUUAGGAGGAAUACCAGUGGCGAAGGCGACUUUCUGGACUUAAACUGACGCUGAGGAACGAAAGCGUGGGGAGCAAACAGGAUUAGAUACCCUGGUAGUCCACGCCGUAAACGAUGAGUGCUAGGUGUCGGGUAGAAAUAUUCGGUGCCGCAGCUAACGCAAUAAGCACUCCGCCUGGGGAGUACGUACGCAAGUAUGAA